AACCUAGCACACCUGCGGUGUGUACCUGCGGAAGGAUCAUUACCUAGAGUUGUAGGCUUUGCCUGCUAUCUCUUACCCAUGUCUUUUGAGUACCUUACGUUUCCUCGGUGGGUUCGCCCGCCGGUUGGACAAAACUUAAACCCUUUGUAGUUGCAAUCAGCGUCUGAAAAAACUUAAUAGUUACAACUUUCAGCAAUGGAUCU
rnacentral:misc_RNA from 1 species